UUUACAGCUGAGCGGUUCACCCGGGGGAAGAGGCUGGAUUCACAGAAUAAAUUUGCAGAGCCAGGGAGCCAGCUGGGGACGAGUGAGCAGAAACUGUCUCUCCAGGAGAGAGACACCCACACCCGCGCGCAUGGGGAGAGGUGAGAAACCUACCAGGGAGACGACUGGGAGCAAAGGAUGCUAAGAAAGCAUACAUUCACGGGGCACGCAGCCCACGCUGCCGGCACCUUGCAGAGCAUCCGUCUCCCACCACCUCCUGCGGGCUCUGGACCCGGCGCUGGGCAGAGGCGUGAGACCGGGCUGAUCCGCACCGUCAGGAAACGCAAAGGGUAAGAAAAUAUCUUCAUUAUCUCUGCGCUGUGAUCUCCAGCACAAACCACUCAAUAUGUGGCUCCCCCUGGACUGUGCACAGAGAAGAUCAGUGGAAGGAAACCGGAGAAAAGACUGUUGCAUUAAUGAUCAGAAAUGAAGCAACGCUCCUCUGCCCCCGGAUCAGCGCUAUGCUGGCGAGGAGACCUCUGAAUACCUGCAGAUGGGUGGCAGGCACCCAGCACUUCAAAGAGCCUUCCCCCCUUGGCUGCUGCUCCGCCUGCCUGGCUGGGUGUCAGUCUUCAGGAUUGCCCCGGGUACCAGUCGGGAGAACUUGGUGCCAAUUAAAAUCCAGGCUGUUGUAUCCUUUGAACUGCAGAGAAACAAAGCCCAUGAAUUCAACCUUUGCCUUUUUUUUUUUUUUUUUCCCCCAAAUGAUGUCAGGAGUUGAAGAGACAGAACAGCACUGAGUGCAAUUGCUGUCGAAAGCUUCUGGCUAUUUCAGCAUGCUGCUUGAACUCCACCAGCGGAGGCUGCGCUGGAGUCGGUAGCCCAGCCGCUUAGCUCCAGAUCUUUAAUUUUAGGGGUCAAAUCAUUAUGAAGUCUCUCAGGGAAGUUAAUAGGAAGUUUACCUUUGCCUCAGCUAUGUAAAAUCAACACGAAAUUCCCAACUGCCCAUAGUGAUAAACUGUCCCAUCUCCAAUCCCAAGCACCCCUUCCUACAAGUCAAACUCAUGUUAUAUUUUCAUUUUUAAACCCACCCUUAAAAUUAAAGCUUACGCUGCCUGAUCAGAACCAAAAUGUCUCGGAUGACUGGCAAUAAGACAAAGGGCUUCAUUUUGGGGCUGACAUCAGCCAGCACUCAAAUCUGAGUCUCCCCCCUUCUUCUGCUGAGGUUCAGGUAUUUCAGGACUGAGCUCUCUGCUAGAAUGAUGCACCUGCAUCUUUGCAGCGCAAGGCACAACACAGCUCCAUUCAGCCCCUCGGUGUGCAGCCACUUGGGCCCUGACUGCACCAGCAAAUCUCUUUGGCUAGCACCCAAGCACCUUAAAAGCCCUUUGCAGCUCCCCGUACCAACAACCUGCACCUGGGUUGCUUUAGAGGAUGAAUACCAUGGGCGCAGUUUCAAAGCAUCUUGCUGACCGUAAGGCUUGUGAGCAGAGCAAGGGGCUUUGGUACCUAUAAUCUCAAAACCACACACAGAAAUGAUGGUGAGCAAUAAGCAGUGAAGGUUUCAGUGACAAGGAAGGAGUUAUUGCAUUGCUCCAAGCUGGCAAGGAGGGACCUGCAGCACUGAGCCCUCACCCCUGUCAGCCCUUUUAUUGCCCAUCCCUGUAUACCUCGGGCAGAUGCGGGGGACACCCGUGUAAUCUGAGUCCUCUGGCAUGGCCAGAGCCAUGGCACGAUGCGGGGAUCCUUUAAAGGAGUUGGUACCGUUCAGGAAGGGAAGGUCCUGAGCUCGUAAGUCAUGCAUAUAUAUGUGCGUAUACAUUAUUUAUACCCUCCACGUGACAGCUGCUGGCUGUAGCUACAGACUCUCUCCACUGAUGCCUCUCUCUGAGUCAUGGCUGCACAGAGCUCCUUGACAGACCUGGAGGAGACGUGGUAAAAUCCCAAACAUGAGUAUUGCAUCAAAGGUACGGUGAUUAUCAGAGCACAGAUAAAUAACAGCUUCCUCGCAAUUUUGGGGGUGGGAGGAGAGCUAGGGCUGUCUAACCACCCUCCUGGAGCUUUUGUCCUGGGGGGGGGGUGGCAGUAGCACAGGGUCCAGACCCAGGGACACAGUGUGCCUGUGCUCGCGGCUCCAGGACCGGUCCCAGAUGCUCCAUUGGGGUGUGUUGGGGGUGUCUGUCCACGCUGCUGGCAGAGGAGCUGGGGAGCUCGGCAAGGAGCUGGUGGGUGGACUUGAGUGGGAUUUCUCCUGCAUGGAGAGCUCUGACAGUCCUUCACGCAUGCCUGGCUGUGUAAGUCACUCUUUGUUUGGCUGACACUUAGGAGAAAGCCUCAUGCGAGGCUUUUAGAGGAUGUUGCACGCAAAUGGUGGGAGAUUGCCCCACAUGUCCUCAUGGAUGGGCUGUGGUGAGCCGAAGCCCGCGACACUGUGCAGUGUGAAAUGAAGAGGGGUGGCUGGGACAGUACCAGCAAACCUGUCCUGCCACUGCAUCUCCCCUCGUGAUGAUUUUCUUUCUCUCAUUACUGUCUUACUUAUUUUCCCCAGGACUUCAGCCUGGUCUGAAACUGCUGCCGCGUCAGCGGCCCCAAGAUGCGGGAAGGAUAUGUGAGCAUCCUGAUGAAUGCAACAGCCAAUUCCGACAGCAGGAGUGCAGCAGCCGCAGCUCAGCCAUUCAGGGUUUCCCCGGGAAGGUCCACGCUUGGCCAGCGCUCAGAGAAGAGGCCCACCAGAAAACAAGAACAAGAACAGCAAUAUGAGAAACACAACCCUGGAUCACUGUCCAUG